GCUAGGGAGGAGGCGUCGCGUGGGAGCGUCGCGCGGAAGCGUCGCGCGAGGGCGGCCGCGUCGCCGCGCUGGGCGAGAUCCCUCGUCUCCCGCUCUGGGGCUCUGGCAGCGCUGGGUUACGGGCCUCAUCCAGCCCCCCCCCCCACACCUCGCUGCUCUCCCAGCCGGCCGGGAGCCCCCCGGGUGGAGGUGUCUGCUGUGGGCUUGGGCCUGGGCAGGCGAGGCCCUGUGAUCAAGGGCUGGCGUGAGGGUGAAAGCUGCCCUAAUGAAAAUGGCUGUGUGGUGUUGCAAACAAACUGAUUUUCUCUCUGACUUUCCAGCUUUGCCAGUGAAGUUCCAUGUGAUCAGCUUCCCUGGGAAUCCCUGUAUAGCUGUGGUCCACCAAAAAUUCCGUGGUCUUGAAUGCUGAUGACAGGCUUGCCUGUCAGUAGAAGCAACUAAGUACUUUAAGUC